GAACUUUUUCACGUCUGGAUAUUGAAUACAAAGAAAUGAGCAAAUAGAAAAUGACGUCACUUCACCACAAACAUAUAUUUUACCAAUCUUGUCCAGUGGUAUUUACAACUUUCUCUGAAUUAUCUAAGAAAAUAGAUCAUAUACAACAAUGGUUGACCAGCUACCAGAAGCAAACAGAAUUUAAUUCUAAAAAUUUUUUGUUAAAGAAUACUGAAUACAAUGCUAAAAAUUAUGUUUAUUAAGAAAUGAUAAAAAUAGUUUUUAUCCUAAUAAGUAAUAACAAUAUACUUUUAAACACACAGUUGGUAAUUUAUCACAAAUUUCAAUUGUGAUCAA